rnacentral:tRNA from 1 species
ACCUGGGUGGCUCAGUGGUUGAGCAUCUGCCUUUGGCUCAGGACAUGAUCCCAGAGUCCUGGGAUCAAGUCCCACAUCAGGUU